GGCAAGGACAGCAAAGGGGG
rnacentral:miRNA from 1 species